UCAACUUCAAAGUUUAAUUUUUUUAAAAAAAAAUAGAUUUAAAAUUUUGACAUUAUUUCAAAAUUUUUACAUAAAUUUUUAAUAUUUAAUUUUUAAUUUGAAUUUAAAUUAAUAUAUUAUAAAGAUAAUGUUAGUAUAUUAAUUUGAUUACGUUUUUUAUAUCCACCUGAACCAAACACCGACAAUGGGAAUGAUUUAUUCUGAUUUCGAUUCAGGUGAUGAACUAAACAGAAUUAGGUAAUGAGUCAUUCUAAUUCCGAUUCCAGCUUAUUUUUAUUUCGAUUCCGAUUCCGACUCCGACUUGGAACCAAACACGCCCUUAGUCUAAUGAAGUUCAAUUACUGGAAUUAGGUUACUAUACUAUUAAUAGUACCAAGUUAUUAGUGCUAUUAGAUUUUCAACUCUUGGAUGAAGGAUAUGCAGUUAGGCUGAUAGUGGUCCUCUAGGGUUGAGUGAGUAGUUGGUUGAAUAAUAUGAUCUAAUGGGUGGAAAUGGUAAAAAGGAUAAAUUUAACGGCGGAAAACUCGAUAGCACAUAGUGCUUGGUUCUAUUGAUAGUAUAGUAGCCGGACUCUAAUUACUGUAUAUUAAGGGCAUGUUUAGAUGCUCAUUUUUUUGGAGCAUAGUAUAACUAUUCUAUAGGUGUAGGAAAAUUUUUCUAAAAGCUGUUUGGAUGGUUCAAAAACACACCAAUAAAAUAGGGUAUAAUUAAACUAUACCCUAAGGUGGCGUUUGGCUCGGGUACAAAGGAGAGGAUAAGGGGGUUAUCCCCCCUUUACACCCGAACAAAAUUUUGGGGGGUGGGAACAAGUUGUUCCCACCCAACCCGGUACAAGAUUGUACCGGGUUGGUUGUUCCCACCCAGGGUGGAACAAGGGGUGAGAACAAGUUGUUCCCACCACCGGGUAGAGAGAGAGAGAGAGAGAGCACCCCGGGGUAGAUAGAGAGAGAGAGAGAUUUUUAUUUUAAAUUUAAAUUUAAAUUUAUAAUUUAAAAUUAUAAAUUUUAAAGUUUAAAUUUUAAAUUUGAUAUUUUUAAAUUUUAAAUUUUAAAUUUGAUAUUUUUAGUUUUUAAAUUUUAAAUUUGCUAUUUUAUAUCUUUGAAAUGUGUCUUAAAUUUAAAAUUUGAUAUUUAAAAUUAAAAUUUUGAAAAUUUAAAAUUUAAAAUGUAAUUUCAAAUUUUAAAAUUUAAAAGUUAAAAUUUUUAAUUUUCAAUUUAAAAUUAUAAGUUUAAAAUUUAAAAAUUUAAAUUCAAUUAUAGGGGUAAUAUCAUUAUUUUCUAUUUAUAACUAACAACUAUUCCUCUUAUUCCCAAUAACCAUCCAAACACAAUUUUUCUAGUUCCAACUUAUACUCACAUUUUCAUCCAGACAAAAAAAUAUCCUUGUUCUUACAAAAAUCCAUACUUUUACCUAUCCCCGGUAUAACUAGUUUCUCACGCCCCGAGCUCCGCCAAUUUGGUCGGAUUCGAGCACAUGAUAGACGCCGAACGGACAGUACCUCCCAUGUCUGUCCAAGGCUCCAACAACAAGUAUAUUACACGCAAGUCAAAAGAGAAUUGCGGAAUAUACAAGGUU
rnacentral:lncRNA from 1 species